UGCUUAGCAUGCAUGAAACCCCAAGUUUAAUCACCAGAGUCUCAAAAAAGGAAAAAACUGUUUCUAAGCUACCCAUGUAUAAAUGAACUUGUGACAAAGUACAUUCAUUACAGUUUCCUCCAAGAUUGAAACAUUCCAUCCCCCAUGGACUCCUUAAAACAUAAGGAAAACAAGUCAAAAUACCUUCAGGAAGUCACUGAAACUCACCAGAUUCAGAGGGCCCAUUGUUCCCAGAAUAAGAAAUGAAGACUGCAGGAGGGGGGAGGUGUCACUCUCAGAUAAGUUAAUCUGCAGAGAAGAAUUUGAGAUAAGAGGAGCUGCCUGGAAGAAGAAACCAGCCCAGCUGCCUGGGCAAAUUUUAGACUUGGAGUCAUUUGGAAAGGACACUCUCUAUCCUGUUGACCUGCUUGUAGGCUGUCCAGGUUCCCAGUUUCUGUGACUAAAGUAGACUUUGGUGACAAAGUUGUCUUUAAGAUAUUUCUGUUCCUGUAACUAAACCCUGAUCCAUAUUCCUGUAAGUAACCCCAAUAAAACUCAUUGGCU
rnacentral:lncRNA from 1 species